rnacentral:rRNA from 1 species
GGGUCAGUAGGUUGGUCGUGCCACCGGUACGUACUGGUCUCACUGUUUCCUCCUUCCUGAAGAACCGUAAUGCCAUUAAUUUGGUGUUGCGGGGAAACAGGACUGUUACUUUGAAAAAAUUAGAGUGUUUAAAGCAAGCUAACGCUUGAAUACAUUAGCAUGGAAUAAUGAAAUAGUACGAUCGAUCCUAUUUUGUUGGUUUCUAGGAUUGACUUA